rnacentral:rRNA from 1 species
UGAGGAAUCUUGCGCAAUGGAGGAAACUCUGACGCAGCCACGCCGCGUGAAGGAAGACACCCCUAUGGGGCGUAAACUUCUUUUAUAUGGGAAGAACCCCCUGCCCGGCAGGGUCUGACGGUACCAUAUGAAUAAGCACCGGCUAACUCCGUGCCAGCAGCCGCGGUAAUACGGAGGGUGCAAGCGUUGUCCGGAAUCACUGGGUGUAAAGGGUGUGUAGGCGGGGCAGUAAGUCAGAGGUGAAAGCCCGCGGCUCAACCGUGGAAUUGCCUUUGAUACUGCUGUUCUUGAGUCCUGGAGAGGUCGCCGGAAUUCGUGGUGUAGCGGUGAAAUGCGUAGAUAUCACGAGGAACACCGGAGGUGUAGACGGGUGACUGGACAGGUACUGACGCUGAGGCACGAAAGCGUGGGGAGCAAACAGGAUUAGAUACCCCCGUAGUCC